UACCGGAUGGCAUAAUUAUUCCGCAUGGGAUAAUUAUUAAAGAAUUUCGGUUGUCGAUGAGGAUGCGUUCCAUUAGGCAGUUGGCGGGGUAACGGCCCACCAAACCUACGAUGGAUAGGGGUUCUGAGAGGAAGGUCCCCCACAUUGGAACUGAGACACGGUCCAAACUCCUACGGGAGGCAGCAGUGAGGAAUAUUGGUCAAUGGACGAGAGUCUGAACCAGCCAAGUAGCGUGAAGGAUGACUGCCCUAUGGGUUGUAAACUUCUUUUAUACGGGAAUAAAGUGAGCCACGUGUGGCUUUUUGUAUGUACCGUAUGAAUAAGGAUCGGCUAACUCCGUGCCAGCAGCCGCGGUAAUACGGAGGAUCCGAGCGUUAUCCGGAUUUAUUGGGUUUAAAGGGAGCGUA
rnacentral:rRNA from 1 species